rnacentral:lncRNA from 1 species
CCUGGGUGCGCAUCUGAAGCCAGAUGAACUCCACGCUUGGGUCGUGCGUCCUAACCCCUUUAACCUCAUCACCGCCUGCUUGGGGAAAGGCCCGCCGUUGGCUCUGCUCUCGCCAUGGCGGUUGUGGAGCCGAAUUGAAGCCCUUGGACAAUCGGUGGUGAUUACCAAAACUGGCCACAACCUUCCACUGCGGGGAAAUCCACCGUGAGGCCACUAAUUUCUCGCCGUCGUUUCCCCUCCGCCGUGAUUUCGCCUUGUACGUGGCUGGCCGCAACCAAGCAUUGACUCAUGGUAAGAAGCCUUCCUCUCGAAUCACCUCGUCUUCCUCUGCGUGUAGCACGGGUUGGUGUAGGAUUUGGGGCCCUGUCUCCGUCGGGCGGGGUGUGCCGGCGAGUUGCUCUGCCGCGGGGUGCUGUUCACCCCCGCUCUGCCGCAUCGGGGUGGGGAAGAUGUGCCGGGACCGCUGAUUUGGUCGCCAACGGCCAUGAUCAGAGCCAGUGUGCAGUUCGGCCAAAUCUUAUGUGGGUCAUCUGUUUGCUGAUGGACGUGCGUGAUCGGAUGAUGCGGGGGUGAAUUGGGGACCCUAGAUCAGGAUAUGUGCGGUUAGGAUUUUAAUAGUAUGAUUUUGAAUCGCCACCGUCGGUUGGCAAUCCUACGGGGGACAUUCCAUACCGGUUCGUUAUGUGGACCUAUUUAACCGCAGCCAUGGGAUCUUGAUCCAACGACUCACAUCACGUACCGGUUCGCUAGGGUAGUCCAUCUAAUCUGGGCCUUAGAUCCUAAAAUGGAUGGCCUAGAGCCGAGCACGUUGAAUCCGCGUGGUAUUUUUGCAGUAUGGGUCCUCAGGGUUUUCCACAAUUAACCCGCGAUCCCUGAUGGUGAUGGAAUCAUUUUAGAAAGGCCCUGAGUUUUGUAGGUUAGACCUUGGUGAACUCAGAAAUUGUGUCCGCCAUCCACCGGUCUGGUAAUCUCAGAGAAUAAAAUCUAAAAUGAUUUUUAGAAUGAAAAUAAAUAUGAUAAACUUAGGAAAUUCAUAACUUUCUCGUUUUAACUCCGAUUUGACUCAUUCAAAUUGUGAUAGAUUUGUAAUAAAGUUUACUACACUAUGACAAACAUCCCGUUGUCAUAUCACUUACUCUUUUAGUUAGUUAUUUAAUUACCCUAUCUAUAUAGUAGAUUAAUAUUUUAUCAAAGUAGUCCGACUAUGACUAUUAAUAACUAUCGAAUGACCUCUAAUCAGGUUAUAACCUAUAUUAAAAUUGGAGUUAGUUAUAUCUUUUCUCACAUGAUUUAUUUUAAUCAACAUAAAAUAUAGUUUCAUUGAUUAAAUCACCUAAAUCUUGGAAAAGCCAUAUCUUUGUAACCGUAGCUCCGAAUUUAGUGAUUCUCGAACCCACGAUCUCGUAGCAUCUCAUAGAUUAUUAUUAUUCAGUUUGUACUUAUGUUUGAUGUGAUGUUAAUUUUGCCUAUAUCAUGUUUGUCUGUAUUGCUAUGACUAACAGUGAGGUCACGAGUCACCUGAAGAGCAAGUUGGUACCUGGAAUCUCAAGUCCCAGGCAAGUUGAGCCCUUGACCACUUUUAUUACCCAAUAAUGUUCUUUAUUAUCACUUAUUCAUGCAUAGGCUUAAUUUUGAUGGGACCCAAUAGGUCACCCUAGACUGAUUAUCUUGUUACCUUGUUUACCCCUGAACUAUUUGGAUAGUUUUUGCUAUUGCUCUAUAUGGUUUUGGGUUUAAUAUUACAUUAUGUUCAUGUUCCAAUUAUACUAUUAUUUUAUUUAUUAUUCAUGUCAAGAUCAUUAUUUUUAAUUGGAACAUGGAGCUUAACUUGAGAAACAUGUGCCACCACAAGGGUGGAAUGGGACGCCCUUGGCUGACUAACUAGGAAAGCUAGUGGAGGACUACCUUACCCGAUAGGGGCAAGGGCAGUAGGCGUGUAGGGAGGUUCCCGGGUUGAUUUUGCUGCGAUGGCGGUCAGAUGGGGGAUUCCCGCAUUGCUCUUCCUAGAAAAUGUAGCGGGUUUUCUGAAGCUAGUGGAACUUUGUAAAGGCUUCGUAGUGGAUCCCUAGCCAUUCACCUCGGUAGUUUUUAAGGGUCUAGCUAACCCUAGUGACAUGGGAUACACGACUUGUGGGUACAGGGUACAACCUCUGCAGAGUGUAAAACUAGUAUACUAGCCGUGCUCGUGAUCAUGAGCAGCUCAGGACUCUCGCAUGAUUAAUUUAUGGAAUUAAAUUCAAUUUGUCAUAUGCAAUUCAUUGCGGGUGUUGUUAUCAAUUUUGAUCUAUUAUUACUCUGGUUAGGUAUCUACUUGCACUUAGUAACUACUAAUAAAAUUUUGACCAACUUUAAAAGCAAUGCUCAGCUUUAAUCAUUCUCUUUGGUAAGCCUUACACUUCACAUGAGCUCCCACCUUUGGCGAGUUUAUGCACAUUAUUCCCCACAACUUGUUGAGCAAAGAACAUAUGUGAGCUCACCCUUGCUGUCUAACACCCCCCACAAGUCAAGAACAGGUACCGCAGGAUGAGGCGCAUGGAGGAUGCUGAGAUGUGUUCGUGAGAGGUCUAGACCGUCGUCUCCCAGUCAGCUUUGGGUUGCUGGAUCGUUGUCUUCAUAUGAUGUAAUUAUUUAUUUAUUUUAUACAGAACUCCUAUUAUAUAGUAAAGAUGUGACAUUUUUUCUGUACCAUGAGUCAUCAUGUGUGUAAGACUUGGUCCUAACACACUUGGUGAUUAUUUCGCACCCG